GAGUGCGGGGGGGACCUCCAGCCACCCGGGGGGUCCCUGACGUUGCUGUGCCGCGCCUCUGGGUUCAGUUUUGGGAGUUAUGGAAUGUACUGGAUCUGCCAGAGACCUGGGCAGACGCUGGAAUACAUCGCCAAUAUCAGCAGCAGUGGUGGCAGCACCGGCUAUGCGCCGUCGGUCAAGGGCCAGUUCAGGAUCUCCACGGACAACGGGCAGAACUCGAUGACACUGACCAUGAACAACCUCAAGGACGAGGAUUCCGGAUCCUAUUUCUGCGCCAAACAUGUUGGGUCACGGCCACCCGGAGCGCUGUGGGACAAAGGGCAGAUGGGGAUCAGGAACCUGAUCGGCUGA